GUCUCAGUAGCUCAAUUGGAUAGAGCAUCCCCCUCCUAAGGGGAAGGUUGCAGGUUCGAGCCCCGCCUGGGACACCA
rnacentral:tRNA from 1 species